rnacentral:lncRNA from 1 species
GUUGCUUCCGCCUCCCGGGGCGCAGGCGCUGGGCGCGGCGGGGAAGGGACUCGGCACUGGGGAAACCCGGAGUUUCAGCCAGGGUCCCAGGGCUUCCUUCCCGGGUUCCUGCCGGAAAACUUUUCUCCUCCGCCCGGAAGCCUCGAUGGGGCAGUGAGAUCGCGGGGCGAGCUGCGACAGCAGAAGACACUUAGGCGGCCUGAGGGGUUGGUGAACCACAGAGGAGCUCAGCUUCGCCUGGUCUCCAGCUCCCGGUGGCGGUGGCGUGUCCUUAAUGCUGCUGGCUUUGAACUGGACUGAGAACUAUUUACCACACAAACACCACCAUUUCAAUCCCGGAGAAUGCCUGUUUUCCCUAGGGUGACCUGGCCGGGGUAACAAACACUUGUUCUCUAAUUCCACGGUCAGCCUUGACUUAAUUGAGGUACUUGAUUUCCAACUUCCUGUCUUGCUGCCACAGAUAAUCACUGAUGAAACCAAACAGGCAACACCUUUUGGUGGCCUGUGGAGAGCGCUGCCCCGUCUGGGUCUUAGGAAGGCAAUUGAAUAUGAAUGUUCUCCCGAGUGCUUGUGGAAAAGAGAUGGUGUUGGCCACUUUUUAGACGAAGAGAAAUGAGUACUAGUGAACACUAAUCAUAGUGACUAAACAGUAAACGGCUCCCAUUUGUUGUCGGCUAAAGCACUGAUUCUUCAUUUUCCAUCCCAGCCUGUCCUGCUCUGGCCUGCCCUGUGCUCAGGAAGCUGGCGGUCCCCCUCAGUGGAUCUUCACCCACAGGGACAACCUGCUGCAGACCGGGUAGGAGGGAGGCAGGGGCCUCUUCCCCUCUCCUUCCUGGCCUGGCCCCACACCCACCAGUGUUGGUUUCACUCUGUGGCUACGAUUCUUCCUGGGUGCCCUUUCCAUUGCACAACUC